rnacentral:rRNA from 1 species
UACGGGGGGGGCAAGCGUUGUUCGGAAUUACUGGGCGUAAAGCGUGCGUAGGCGGCUAUGUAAGACAGAUGUGAAAUCCCUGGGCUUAACCUAGGAACUGCAUUUGUGACUGCAUUGCUAGAGUGUGGUAGAGGGAGAUGGAAUUCCGCAUGUAGCAGCGAAAUGCGUAGAUAUGCGGAGGAACACCAAUGGCGAAGGCAAUCUCCUGGACCUGCACUGACGCUCAUGCACGAAAGCGUGGGGAGCAAACAGG